CUAAGUAUAAUUUCAGCAUACAAGUUAAAUAAAGAAGGAGAAAGUAUACAACCUUGUCUUACUCCUUUGCCAAUCUGGAACCAGUCUGUUUCACCAUGUUCUGUCUGGACUGUGGCUUCCUGUCCUGUGCAUAGCUUUCUCAUGAGAACAAUGAAAUGUUCUGGGAUGCCCAUUUUCCUAAAGACAAUCCAAAACAUUACAUGGUCGACACAAUCAAAGGCUUUUCUGUAGUCAAUAAAGCACAUAUUGACUUCUUUCUGGUAUUCUUUGGCUUUCUCAAUUAUCCAGCGUGCAUCCACAAUGGUGUCUCUUGUUCCUCUGCCUUUUCUGAAACCAGCUUGAACAUCCGGCAUUUCCCUUUCCAUGAAGGGCUCUAAUUUGUGUUGGAUGAUCCUGAGCAUUAUUUUGCUAGCAUGUGAAAUUAAGGAUAUUGUGUGAUGGUUUGCGCAAUCUGUUCAGUCUCUUUUCUUUGGUAUUGAUACGUAUACUGACCUCUUCCAGUCGGUUGGCCACUGUGUCGUUCACCAAAUUUGCUGGCAUAUUUUGAUUAGAGCCUUGACUGAUUCUUCUGCUGCUGCCUUCCAUAUAGCUAUUCCAGCCAUUCCUGUAGCCUUCUGACUUGAUAAUGACCGGAGAGCUGAACUAACUUCAUCUUCCCGUACUAGAGGUUCUUGCAAGUAGGGGAUAUCUUCUAGAGUAUCUUGGAUGUUGACGUCCCUGCUGUACAGAUUUUCAGUAUACUCCUUCCAUCUCUGUUUGAUCUUCUCUGAAUCAGUUAUUAUCUGUCAUAUCCUUUAAUCUACCAAUUUGAGGUUGGAACCUCUUUAUGAGUUCAGAGAUCUUUUGGGGAACUUUACUUAUUUCUCCAUGUCUAUUUCCAUCCUCAACGUCUUUACAGAUGUCAUUGUAGUACUGUUCUUUUUCUCUUCUAAAAGCUUUCUGAAAUUCCCUAUUAAGUUCCUUCCUGAUGUUUUUAUCUUUCUUGACUGUGACUUCUCUCCUCUUCUUGGCAAUUUCCAUUCCCUGUUCUGACAUCCAUUUUGCUUUCUUCUGUUUCAUGGUCUUUGGCAGUCAACUUCUUUGAUUUCAUUCCACAAUUCCUCUCGUUCCCUAUCAAUGAGGUUCAGAAAUUCAAAGCAGUUCCUGGUGUUCUCCUUGAAAAUGGUGGGUACAUUCUCAAGAUCAUAUCAUGGAAACUGGAUAGCUUUUUCUCUGCUUUAGCUUAACUUGGAACUUACACAUGAGCAGUUCGUGAUCUGUUCCACAAUCAGCCCGUGACCAUGUCUUUGUUGUUAUAACUGAGCUCUUCCACCUCCUUCCACUAAGAAUGUAAUCAAUUUUCUGUGUAUUCCAUCUGGUGAUGUCCAUGUGUAUAGGCGCCUUUUUGGUUGUUUGAAGAAUGUGUUAGCAAUGAAGAGAUCACUGGUCUGGCAGAAACUAAGAAGUCGUUCUCCUGCUUCAUUUCUGUUUCCUAGGCCAUACAGUCCAACUAUAUUUUCUUCCUUACCAUUUCCAGCUUCGGUAUUCCAGUCUCCAACGACCAGCAGCACAUCUUGCUUGCAUGUUCUGUCAAUUUCAGACUGAACUUCAGCAUAACAUUCAUCAACUUCCUCUUCUUUUGCAUCAGUCUUUGGGGGAUAGACUUGAAAAACUGUCAUGUUAAAGGGUUGUCCGUGAAAUCUAAUUGAUAUUAGUCAAUCAGUAAUAUUGAUUGAUUAAUAUUGAAGCGGUUGGGUAGGCGACUAGAGCGCAAGUGGAGGAGAACUCAGUUCGAAUCUGACAGGAUUCAGCAUGUGACCCAUUUGAAGGCUUAUGCGGUGGCAGUGCGCGCAGCGAAAAAGAGAUUCUGGUCUGCAAGCAUUGCAGCUGCAGGUUCACACUCGGCGGAGCUAUCCCAGGUUGUGAGGAGUUUGGUUUCUGCUCCUUCUACUUCCAAUCAGUCCUCGGAGUUGCUCUGCUGUGGCGCCUUUAAUGUGUUAUUUGCAAAUAAGAUCUCCUGUAUUCGGGCUGACUUAGACUCCACUAUUUCUGCAAGGUCUAUGGAGGAGGUGUCCAGCAAUCCCUCUUGCAGUAUUAGAGUGGAUCAGUUUCAAUCUGUGACUCCUAAGGAUGUGGACAAGCUGCUUGGGGCGGUGCAGCCUACCACCUGUUCUCUGGAUCCUUGCCCAACUUGGCUGCUACUAUCUAGCAGGGAGAUUGUUGGAGGUGGCCUAGUUAAUAUCAUAAAUGCAUUGCUGAGGGAGGGUAAGGUGCCCCCCGCUGCCUGAAGGAGGCAAUGGUUAGACCACUCUUAAAGAAGCCUUCCCUGGACCCCUUAGCGAUGGAAGCUACAGGCCAAUCUCCAAUCUCCCUUAGUUGGGCAAGAUGAUUGAGAGGGUGGUAGCCGACCAGCUCCAGGCAGUCUUGGAGGAAACUGAUUAUCUAGACCCAUUUCAAACUGGAUUUAGAGCUGGCUAUGGGGGUUGAGACAGCCUUGGUCUGUCAGCCUGACGGAUUUCCUUUACCGGAUAAUCGACAGAGAAAGUGUGACUCUGCUGGUUCUUCUGGAUCUCUUGGCGGCAUUUGAUACCAUCAACCAUGGUAUCCUUCUGGAUCGCCUGGGGGAGUUGGGGAUAGGGGGCACUGCUUUGCAGUGGUUCCGUUCCUAUAUCUCAGGUAGAUUCCAGAUAGUGGAGCUUGGUGACAGUUGCUCCUCAAAAUGGGUGCUGUUAUAUGGAGUCCCUCAGGGCUCCAUUCUGUCACCAAUGCUUUUCAAUAUCUACAUGAAACCGCUUGGUGAGGUCAUCAGGAGAUUUGGUGCUGGGUGUUAUCAGUAUGCUGAUGACACCCAAAUCUACUUCUCCUUUUCAUCUUCAGGAAAUGGCACUCAUUCUCUAAAUGCCUGCCUACAGGCAGUAAUGGGCUAGAUGAGGGAUAACAAAUUGCAGCUGAAUCCAAGCAAGACGGAGGUGCUCAUUGUCGGGACUCAGAAUCUGAGGGGUGUAUUACAUUUUCCUGUGCUAGAUGGGGUUACACUCCCACAGAAGGAGCAGGCACACAGCUUGGGAGUACUCCUGGACCUAGGCCUCACCUUGGUAUCUCAGGAGGAGGCCAUGGCCAGGAGUGCUUUCUAUCAGCUUUGGCUGAUUCGAAAGCUGCACCCAUUCCUCGAAGAGGAUGACUUCAAAACAGUGGUGCAUCAGCUGGUAACCUCCCGGCUUGUCUAUUCCAAUGCGCUCUACGUGGGUCUGCCUUUGUACGUAGUCCGGAAACUUUAGUUAGUUCAGAAUGCGGCAGCCAGAUCGGUCUCUGGGGCAACCCGGAGAGACCAUAUGAUGCCUGUUUUGAAACGGUUACACUGGCUGCCGAUAUGUUUCCGGGCAAAAUACAAAGUGCUGGUUAUUACCUUUAAAGCCCUGAACGGCUUGGGUCCGAGAUAUCUUAGAGAGCGCCUUCUUUUACAUGAUCCCCACCUCACGUUAAGGUCAUCUGGGGAGGUCCGUAUCCAGUUACCACUGGUUCGUUUGGUGGCGACUCAGAGGUGGGCCUUCUCUGUAGCUGCUCCUGGGCUGUGGAAUGCACUCCCAGCAGAAAUUCAUAAUCUUAAUUCUUUACUGACCUUCAAGAGAGCCCUUAAAACCCAUCUAUUUGGCCUGGCCUUUCAGGGUUUUUAAUUGGUUUUAAUUGUUUUAAUGUUAACCUGGUUUUCAGGGUUUUAAUUGUUUUGAUAGUUUAAUUGUUUUUUAAGAUGUUUUUAAAUUGGUGUUUAUAUUUGUAUUUCUGUUUUAAUUGUUUUUAAUGAUUUCUGUUUUUUAAUUGUAAACCGCCCUGAGCCAGCUCGGAAGGGUGGUAUAAAAAUCGAAUAAAUAAAUAAAUAAAUAAAUAAAUAAAUAAUCACAGACUGUAUUGUACCCAGGUACUGUCAUUACUAUGUCCUUCCUGACUAAGAAAGCAUCACAGUUCUUUCUUUGUUUUUCAUGUCCUGAGUAGUAAAUGGUAUCAUUUUCUGACUGAAAGUGUCCAAUUCCAGUCCAUUUUAAUUUGCUGAUGCCCAAGAUGUCAAUCUGUUGUUGAUUCACUUCAUCUUUCACUAUGUAGAGCUUUCCCAUAUUCAUGCUUCUUACAUUCCACAUACCCACUGUAAUUCUGUCUUUGCAGGUUCAGGUUUUCUUUUCCCUCAUGGCAACAGCAGCAGCUAGACAUCCAAAAGGCUUUAACCUAACCACAUCAUACAUACCAGUGGUACUCUGAAAAAUGUUCAGCUCUUCCUCAGUAGCAUGUUGAGUACCAUCCAACCUGAGGGGCCCAGCAACUGGCACUAGAUUGACAAUCAGGUGGCUUGGGAUUUGGACAACCCAAGAAAAGGCUGCUGCACAUUACCAAAGAAUUAUUGACAGAUUCAGACCAUGGCAUCUGAACUGCAGCCGGCUACACAAGGACAACAGGGUCAUGCCACUCCAUCCCUGCCCAACUGGCACACCCCACCUCAGCAGAACAACAACAUGGGGCCAGAACGUCUGAACUGUGCCCCAAAUGUCAUGGUUUAAAUACUAUUUUAUUUAUUUAUUUUAUUUAUUUUUGCAUUUUUAUACCGCCUUUCGUUAAAAGAUAGCCCCAAGGCGGUUUACAAAAGUUAAAAACAUACAAAACAUACUAUGUUGAUGUAGUAUUUAAAUCAUAUUAUUAGGGGCUGGUUUGGAUUCCCAGUUCCCAGGGAGUGGAUCAGCAAGUGGGAUUCAAACUGCAUAACCCCCUUCUCCUAAUAUGAGGAGCUGCCUCUCAUCUGAGCCAGCCCAUAUUAUAACUACAGCAGAGGCACUGGCAUUCUUUAGGCUCUAAUUAGUUAAUUAACCCCUGCUAACUUGGCAAGGAAGCACCUUUUAAUGUGGUGAUUCUCUUUAUUGAGCAGGGGGAGAGUAACUGGCUCUAUCCACCUCCAGCACAGUACCUCCAGUGACUGUUGCUGGUGUCUAUCUUAUGUUUCUUUUUAGAUUAAGAGGGGUUUGGAUAACCGUGGAGGAGAGGUCUAUCAACGGCUACUAGUCGAAGGCUAUAGGCCACCUCCAACCUCAAAGGCAGGAUACCUCUGAGUACCAGUCGGAGGAGAGUAUCAGCAGGAAAGAGGGCAUGCCCUCAACUCCUGCCUGUGGCUUCCAGCAGCAUCUGGUGGGCUACUGUGUGAAACAGGAUGCUGGACUAGAUGAGCCUUGGGCCUGAUCCAGCAGGGCUGUUCUUGUGUCUCUAGGGCACUGGACUCCAUCCCUCUCUCUAGGGAAGCUGGGACUCCCACCUGCACUCCACCGCCACCACCCCACACACAAGAGAAAGAGACUACUUGAUUGGAGAGUGGAAUGGAAAGUGGGACUUCCUUGUUCCUUAUUCACAGCAUUAUGAAUCUGUUUGAGAAUGUCUUCACAUCUCUGUCUAUAGAUCUGGAUGUUGGAUCUGCCUCUGAAGCAGGCCCAGCCUUACCAGGAAGCACCAGGAGGUAAAUUUGCUUUGGGCGGCAAGUUUCCAAGGAGGCACUGUUCCAAGUUUGUAAUUCCUUGGUUUGGGAUACAACUCUUAGGGACUCAUCAUGCUCACCUUCAAUAUCCUGCAUUAUGGCCCCUUGAGUUCUUCUCUGGUUCAGAUUUUAAUCUGAGCCAAAGAAAUUCUGCCUUCCACCCACCCUUUUAACACACUGCAGCAGCAGUUGUGGCAGGAAGGUCAAACAGAUCUAAUGAUUGUUAUAUUACACUCCUCCUUUCUGAUCAAUAUUCAGAUAUUUCAUGUAAUGUUUUGUGUAGCUUGCAGAAUUUGAAAAUGGUAUGGAGACAUUGACUCAAGUAAACUAUAAUUUGUAUAAAAUACCCAAAUUAGAGAUUAGAGCUCUUUCAUAAUAUAUAAGCUGUUAUGUGUUGUGGUUCUUAUUGCUUAUGCUUUAUAUUGUUUAAAAUAUCUGUCUUGUUAUGGCUGGUCAAUUGAGUGUAACAAUAAAGAUUUGAUUUGAUUUGUGGCAGGAA